GUGGGGAAUAUUGGACAAUGGGCGAAAGCCUGAUCCAGCCAUGCCGCGUGUGUGAAGAAGGUCUUCGGAUUGUAAAGCACUUUAAGUUGGGAGGAAGGGUAGUAACCUAAUACGUUGCUACUUUGACGUUACCGACAGAAUAAGCACCGGCUAACUUCGUGCCAGCAGCCGCGGUAAUACGAAGGGUGCAAGCGUUAAUCGGAAUUACUGGGCGUAAAGCGCGCGUAGGUGGUUCAGUAAGUUGGAAGUGAAAUCCCCGGGCUCAACCUGGGAAAUGCUUUAAAAACUGCUGAGGUAGAGUACGGUAGAGGGUGGUGGAAUUUCCUGUGUAGCGGUGAAAUGCGUAGAUAUAGGAAGGAACACCAGUGGCGAAGGCGACCACCUGGACUGAUACUGACACUGAGGUGCGAAAGCGUGGGGAGCAAACAGGAUUAGAUACCCGGGUAGUCC
rnacentral:rRNA from 1 species